GAGAAAUGAUUGGGUCAUGAGAGUCUUAACCCAAUCAGGGAACUAAUCCCCUGAUAGGGAUUAACUGAGUGGUAACUGAAGGUGGGUAGGGUGUGGCUGGAGGAGGUGGGAUUGGGGUUGUGGCUUUGGGGUAUAUAUUUUGUAUCUGGCGAGUGGAGUCUCUCUGCUGUCUGAUCAUCAUGUGAGCUGGUUCCCUCUGCCACAUUCUUCCGCCAUGAUGUUCUGCUUCACCUUGAACUCUAAGGAAUAGA
rnacentral:lncRNA from 1 species